ensembl:lncRNA
GUGAAGGACACUGUCUCAGCUGAACUCUGGACACACACACACACACGCACACAGACAUAUAUACACAUGCAGAUGUACACUCAUCCCCCCCCUCCCCCCUCCCCCCUCCAAACGCCUUCGACGCUUAUUCCCUUCCGAUGCUGACAGUGGAUCAUGGAGACCAGCGCAUAGGCUGCAGGCCCGGAUGUACUGUCUACAUCGGCUGUCUCUCACCCUUUACCCAUCCCUGUUGCUUGUCAUGUGUUUCUUUGGUGUAUUAAGAGUUUUUUUCAUGUGCUAUGUGCAGAGGUGUUUUUCUGUUCUCAGACUGAUCUCCUGUUGGAGCUCAGUCUGGGGAGUUAUUUUUUCUCCUUAUCUUUACUCAUGUUGUGCUUUUCCAUGUUAUACCCCUCUGACCUGUCUUCCCCAUGUGAUGUUUGUGUAAUGUAUGUAUGGUCGGAAGGGUAAGACGGCGCUGGCACGGCUGGCAGCCUUAACCUAAUUUCCCUCGGGAUGAAUAAAGUAUGAUCGAUCAAUCAAUCAAUCAAUCAAUCAAUCAAUCAAUCAAUCAAUCAAUCAAUCAAUCACACCUGAGCCCCAUCUGCUGUCAAUUACAGGAGGACUAUUUAAGCUAGCGCUGCCUUCUACUCAUCGCCACUUCAUUCAGUCACUUACUGGGUGCUGGCUUCCUUGUUCCACCUCCGUCAUCAGCUCUCAUUAAGGAAACCUUCGUCUGCCUGUCCUCCUGCCAGCCCCGACGCUCUUGGCAACUCAGCAAACCAUUCCUUCCCACGCACUGCCUCUCUCUGGAUUCUCCCACGGAAACUCUCCCUGAAGCUCUUCAGUCUGGCACUGCAUAGCUUCCGUGGACCCGAUCGCGGCCUCUCAGGACAGUCUUCCCUAUAAGCUGUGCCCGUUCCCACCGGCUCCCGCUUCACUCUUGUUUAUCCUUGUUUUAUUCCCAUUCUUUCUGUGAAUAAAGUCUUGUACAUAAUUCUCACUGAGUGCACUGAGUCCGCUUUUGGGUCCGGCCCUUGCACAAACCUCGGUUCAUGACAGAAGAACAGUUUAACGUUCAAAAGACAAAGACAAAUGCUGUGAUACAUGUUCAGUCCACACGGACAGUGGUUUGGCACAAUGGGAAAUCAUACAUGGACAGAGGAUCGGGAAAUAAUGCCCUUGGUUAUUAUAACUGCACAGAUUAUUAAAUCAUUAUUAUAUUUCAUUGCAUGUGAUCUUAAGCUUAUUUUUCUUUUUGAGUUUAUGCUUGUAUUGUAUAAUUGUUCACUGUUGCCCAGAUCACAGAAUUUACCCACUUCUACUCUUAUUUUUACAUAUAUUGUAUCUACUGUUUGCUACUUCCUGUUUUAUUUUGGUAAUUGGUUAGCUUUGUUGUUUUACUUCCUGUCCUUGUCUGUUUCCCUCCUUAAUCCUUACCUGCCUGCUCUCAUGUUGAAUUGAUACACUUAUAUAAUAUAUUUAUAUCAUCCUUCCUUUCUCUGUGUAUUUCUUCAGUGUGUCUGUUUUCCCAUUCCCAUUUCUUGGAUUUGUUGCUUAUUUAAACUGUUUGAACUACUCUUCCAGACUUUAUUUUUUGUGGAUUUUUGGAAAUUGAAUCAGUUUUAAAAUCAUUCUAUUUCUGCCUCGAGUUUGCAUCUCAGUCUCCUUCUUGUUUGGUGGAAAAACAAGGACUAGAAGCAGAAAUGCAGCUCUUGAAUAUCAAAUCACUGUUGUUGUUAAUAGACAGCCAUGCAACAUGCAAUUCAGACAGAGCAUAAAUACAACUUAAGGACUGGUUAAGAGCUAACACCUGUGGAGCAUCCAGGUGUGAGACCU